GAUGAACGCUAGCGGGAGGCCUAACACAUGCAAGCCGAGCGGUAGAGUUCCUUCGGGAACUUGAGAGCGGCGUACGGGUGCGUAACACGUGUACAACCUACCUUUAUCUGGGGGAUAGCCUUUCGAAAGGAAGAUUAAUACCCCAUAAUAUAAUGAUUGGCAUCAAUUAUUAUUGAAAACUCCGGUGGAUAGAGAUGGGCACGCGCAAGAUUAGAUAGUUGGUGAGGUAACGGCUCACCAAGUCAAUGAUCUUUAGGGGUCCUGAGAGGGAGAUCCCCCACACUGGUACUGAGACACGGACCAGACUCCUACGGGAGGCAGCAGUGAGGAAUAUUGGACAAUGGGUGAAAGCCUGAUCCAGCCAUCCCGCGUGAAGGAUGACGGUCCUAUGGAUUGUAAACUUCUUUUGUACAGGGAUAAACCUACUCUCGUGAGGGUAGCUGAAGGUACUGUACGAAUAAGCACCGGCUAACUCCGUG
rnacentral:rRNA from 1 species